GACGAACGCUGGCGGCGUGCUUAACACAUGCAAGUCGAACGGAAAGGCCCUGCUUUUGUGGGGUGCUCGAUUGGCGAACGGGUGAGUAACACGUGAGUAACCUGCCCUUGACUUUGGGAUAACUUCAGGAAACUGGGGCUAAUACCGGAUAGGAGCUCCUGCUGCAUGGUGGGGGUUGGAAAGUUUCGGCGGUUGGGGAUGGACUCGCGGCUUAUCAGCUUGUUGGUGGGGUAGUGGCUUACCAAGGCUCUGACGGGUAGCCGGCCUGUGAGGGUGACCGGACACAUUGGGACUGAGAUACGGCCCAGACUCCUACGGGAGGCAGCAGUGGAGAAUAUUGCACAGUGGGCGGAAGCCUGAUGCAGCAACGCCGCGUGCGGGAUGACGGCCUUCGGGUUGUGAACCACUUUCGCAUGUGACGAGGCGUGAGUGACGGUAAUGGGUAAAGAAGCACCGGCUAACUACGUG
rnacentral:rRNA from 1 species